GAUGAAGAACACAGUGAAAUGUGAUAAGUAAUGUGAAUUGCAGAAUUCAGUGAACCAUUGAAUCUUUGAACGCAUCUUGCACCUUUUGGUAUUCCCAAAGGUACACCUGUUUGAGUGUCAUGA
rnacentral:rRNA from 1 species